GCCCUAUUUAUACCUCUUUCUUACAUCACUUCCUUGCCCUGUCGUGGUUUCUUGUAGCCCAAGAGUGCAUUCUGUUAACUUGUAUUUCAUUGGUAUCUGACUUUGGCUUGUUUUCGGGUUAUCCAUAUCUCUGGCUACCCUGCUUUUAUGCAUCUCUCCCAUGCAAUGGAGACACCCACAGAAAAUUAUACAGUAACCAAUCAUAUACAGGUUACAACCCACACAUCUCCUCCCCUCAGCCUGACAGAUAAUCCAAUUAUUCAGCACACACUUUUCCCCAUUUUCUGGAUGUACCCCAAAUACAUAAAAUACACCCCUAAAUCCUACAUCCCCUGAUAGCUUUAAUCUAGGUGAGCAAUAUACUCAAAAAUUACCCAGAUCGGAUCAGGGGUUCGGGAACUACAUGGAUGUGUUCGUUUGACUGACCGUGUGGCAAACCUAGCCACUUGGGACUGCCUAAGAUAGAAUGGUUGUGCCUAUUUUCUGUUGUGUACUGCGCGCCGGUAUAGUGUGGCGUCUCGGCUAUGUUUAAUUUAUGCUGUACUGUGUAUGUCUGUUCGAAUCCUCCCCAUUCGUUAGCAUUGCUAUUAAAACUGACUAAGUUGUAUAUUUUGAAGAAGAAAGGUAACGGUUUAUGUCCUCGUAGUUUUCAUUACUGUAUGUUACAGCAGGGGCUGUUGGGAGGAGGACCUGGAAACGGUAGUCUCCCUCCAGUCCCCUCAACCAAAACCCCUGCUGCCCAUCUUUGGAAACCCCUGUUGAGUGACCUGCUUUAAAUAUCAGUUAUUUUUAAUAAAGUGACAGUUGAGUGACCUGCUUUAAAUAUCAGUCUUUUUGAAUAAAGUGGCAGUUGACUCUCAGACUGUGUUUCGUCUGGUUCUUGGGAGGAUUUGGGAAUAUUGCCUGCUUCCAGCUUUGUACUUGGUUAUUGCAUUCUACCAGCAGAGAUCCUGGGAUUAUAAAAUUGCAGCUCCGCAACAAUUGGUGGCAAGCGGCGGGAUCCAACCGUACAGCAGGAAAAACGCUGUUUAUACAAUUGGAAUUGACAUACUGGAAAGCAGAAGGCAAUUGAUACAGAUGCAGAAGUGAAUGGGGACGGACUACACCAUAUUGAAACGGCAAACGUUAAAGGAGCUGUUGGAAGCCAGGGGUAAGAUAGCCAGCAAUAAGCCUAAAGCAAGACUUAUUGCCGAGCUAAUGGAAGGAGACCGAGGGGGGUCUGUACAUGUGACUAAUAAGCAGCUUAUAGUGCCCCAGAAAUACCGGCAGGAACUGCUUAGAAUUGCCCACGAUAUUCCGCUGUCUGGGCAUUUAGGGAUGACAAGAACGAGGUACAGAUUGACACAUGCAUUUUUCUGGCCAGGUAUAUCUAGAGAUGUGAGACAGUAUUGUCAGACAUGUGACAUUUGUCAGAGAGUGGGAAAAAGGGGUGACCGCCACAAAGCGAAAUUGUGCCCCCUUCCCAUUAUUGAAGAACCCUUUAGCAGAGUAGCAGUGGAUAUAGUAGGACCACUGUCCAAGCCUAGCCCUUCCGGCAAGCGGUAUAUUCUGACCAUUGUAGAUUAUGCCACCCGGUACCCGGAGGCUAUAGCCCUUUCCAAUAUACAAGCAGAAACGGUAGCCGAAGCUAUGAUGAAGAUAUUUUCCAGGAUGGGAUUUCCCCAAGAGAUAAUUUCGGAUAGGGGGACCCAAUUUACAGCCGAAGUGACCCACCAGCUAUGGAAGUUAUGUGGCAUUAAGCCAAUUGUAAAUUCUGCCUAUCACCCGCAGUCCAAUGGGUUGUGUGAGCGCUUUAACGGUACCUUGAAGCAGAUGCUCAGGACAUUUGGGGAGUCCCAUAAAGACUGGGAGAGGUUUUUACCCCAUCUGCUUUUUGCGUACCGAGAAGUGCCACAGGAAUCUACCGGCUUCUCUCCGUUUGAGUUAUUGUUUGGGAGAAGGGUGAGGGGACCCCUAGACUUAAUUAGAGAACAUUGGGAGGGGGGGAGCAGUGCAGAUGGAGUCCCCAUUGUGCCAUACGUGCUGGAGUUCCGGGACCGCUUGGAGGCUCUAACCCAAACCGUACGGGAGAACCUCCGGGCGGCUCAGCGGCGACAGCGCCGGUGGUACGAUAGGGGAGCCAGAGACCGUAGCUUUCAGGUGGGACAGAAAGUUCUAAUUUUGAAACCUGUCCGCACAGACAAGCUACAGGCCACAUGGCAGGGCCCAUACCAAGUGGUAGAACAGAGAUGUGACACCACUUAUGUGAUCGGCCCGUGCUCUGGGGUAGGGAAACGACGCAUGCUCCAUGUGAACAUGCUCAAACCCUAUCACCAGAGAAUAGAGGAGGUAGCAGCCAUCUGUGCCCCAGCCACUGAGGAUUAUGAGAAUCUGCCCUUGCCAGACAUGUUAGAAAAGGAAGAUUCUGCAGAAAACGCUACAGGUGUGCAGCUGGGGGAGCGGCUAAGUCUCCAGGAGCGUGCCCAGGUACAGGAGUUGAUUGCAGCAAAAGGUGCUACCUUCUCCAAUUUACCAGGGUACACUCUGUUAGCUACCCACCGAGUAGAGACCCCAGGACAGCUCCCUAUGAGACAGACUCUGUAUCGUAUCCCUGAAGCAGUAAGGGAGCACAUGAGGAAAGAAAUUGAGGAAAUGUUGCAGUUAGGGGUUAUCGAACAUUCAGAUAGCCCCUGGGCAUCACCGGUAGUGCUAGUACCCAAGAAGGAUGGCACCAUGCGGUUUUGUGUAGACUACCGGAGGCUCAAUGACAAAACAGUGUCUGACGCCUACCCGAUGCCCCGUAUAGACGAGCUGCUAGAUAGGAUGGCAAGAGGCCAGUAUCUCACUACCAUUGAUCUGUGUAAGGGAUACUGGCAGAUUCCACUAGCCGAGGAGGCCAUCCCCAAGUCGGCGUUUGUCACCCCGUUUGGCCUGUAUCAAUUUCGGGUCAUGCCUUUCGGGAUGAAAAACGCUCCGGCUACCUUUCAGAGGAUGGUAGAUCGGCUACUGGACGGGUUCCAAGAGUACGCCUGUGCGUACUUAGAUGAUAUAGCCAUUUAUAGCCAGACCUGGGCAGAUCAUUUGAAACAUAUUAGUGUGGUCAUUGACCGUAUUGGAGAGGCAGGGCUGACACUAAAACCUAGCAAGUGUCACAUAGGGAUGGCAGAGGUGCAGUACCUGGGUCACAGGGUAGGAUGCGGACAGCAGAGGCCCGAACCGGCCAAGAUAGAGGCAGUAGCUAAGUGGCCUACCCCCAGGACAAAGACACAAGUAUUGGCGUUCCUUGGUACCGCUGGUUACUACAGAAAAUUUGUGCCCAAUUACAGCGCCCUGGCCAAACCCCUGACGGACUUGACCAAGAAAAACUUGCCACGACAGGUCAACUGGGGCCCAGAGUGUGAACAGGCAUUCCAUGAACUAAAAACUGCAUUAACUAAGGCUCCUGUGUUAACUGCCCCUGAUCCAACUAAACGAUUUCUUGUUCACACAGACGCUUCCAUGUUUGGAUUGGGGGCAGUACUGAGCCAAGUGGGAGCUGAUGGCGGAGAACAUCCCGUAGCUUACUUAAGCAGAAAAUUACUACCAAGGGAAGUAGGCUACGCCGCCAUCGAGAAGGAAUGCCUGGCCGUGGUGUGGGCCCUCAAAAAGUUACAACCUUAUUUGUAUGGACAACCAUUCUCCUUGCUCACAGAUCACAACCCGUUGGUGUGGCUACACAGGGUGUCAGGAGACAAUGCCCGGCUGUUGCGCUGGAGUUUGGCGCUGCAGCCGUUUGAUUUCACGAUCCAUUAUCGCCCUGGAAAACAGAAUGGUAACGCCGAUGGGUUGUCCAGACAGACAGAACUUGAGAAAUGAUCUGUGAGCACUCCCCCGGACAUCCCCAAGCCGAUCCGUUGGGAUCAGACUGUGUAUGCCGGCUUGGUUUUGGGGGAGCAUUGUGGCAAACCUAGCCACUUGGGACUGCCUAAGAUAGAAUGGUUGUGCCUAUUUUCUGUUGUGUACUGCGCGCCGGUAUAGUGUGGCGUCUCCGGCUAUGUUUAAUUUAUGCUGUACUGUGUAUGUCUGUUCGAAUCCUCCCCAUUCGUUAGCAUUGCUAUUAAAACUGACUAAGUUGUAUAUUUUGAAGUAGAAAGGUAACGGUUUAUGUCCUCGUGGUUUUCAUUACUGUAUGUUACAGCAGGGGCUGUUGGGAGGAGGACCUGGAAACGGUAGUCUCCCUCCAGUCCCCUCAACCAAAACCCCUGCUGCCCAUCUUUGGAAACCCCUGUUGAGUGACCUGCUUUAAAUAUCAGUUAUUUUUAAUAAAGUGACAGUUGAGUGACCUGCUUUAAAUAUCAGUCUUUUUGAAUAAAGUGGCAGUUGACUCUCAGACUGUGUUUCGUCUGGUUCUUGGGAGGAUUUGGGAAUAUUGCCUGCUUCCAGCUUUGUACUUGGUUAUUGCAUUCUACCAGCAGAGAUCCUGGGAUUAUAAAAUUGCAGCUCCGCAACAAACCACACACGAGGCAGUAGCCGCAAACAGUUCCAUAAAUUUUGGCCUUGCGGACCGUCUCUGUUCGUGGAUUAAAAGUCACGAAAAUACUGACUAGAAUGGGCUGUGCUUGUGUUCGUAUGAAUUCCCUUGUUCGUUUGAUACCUUUUACCGAACGUCGGGCCGUUAGUGUUUUUCCUCGCACAGAGAUGGAAGUCUGGAGGUCUCAGCGGUGUUUGCGUGGUCGAGUGUCCGAUGUGGGUUCCAGACACUCGACGACCAAACACCGGUGGGCGUUCGUAUGGCAAGAUGGCCGCCGCCACGUGUUCGUAUGCCGAAUGGCGGCCACCCAGGGAAUACACAGUGCGUUCAUAUAUUUUUCAAUUAGAUGGCAAUAGAGGCUGGGGAGGUAAAUUGGGGCCACACUUCUCUCAGGGGUGGUCUGGUUGUUCGGUAGUUUGUUCGUAUGUCGAACGGGGUGGUUCACUUUAGUCUCCAUGGCUUUCUACUGAACAACCAGACGAAUUAAUAAAAGGAAUGGAACAUAUCGGCUAUGAAGAAAGGUUAACAAAUUUAAACCCAUUUAGUUUAGAAAAACGUCGCCUGAGAGGGGAUAUGAUAACAUUAUACAAAUAUAUUCGGGGCCAAUACAAACCAUUGUGUGGAAAUCUAUUUACAAACCGGACUUUACAUAGAACACGAGGCCAUGCGUUUAGACUGGAAGAAAGAAGAUUUCGUCUAAGGCAAAGGAAAGGUUUUUUUACUGUAAGAACAAUCAGGAUGUGGAAUUCUCUGCCUGAAGAAGUGGUUUUAUCAGAGUCCAUACAGAUGUUCAAACGGCUACUAGAUGCAUACUUGCAAGAACAGAAUAUUCAAGGAUAUAAUCUUUCAAUGUAGGGUAAUAACUGCUUGAUCCAAGGAUAAAUCUGACUGCCAUUCUGGGGUCAAGAAGGAAUUUUUUUCCUAGCUUGUUGCAAAAUUGUGCUUCAAACUGGGUUUUUUUGCCUUCUUUUGGAUCAACAGCAAAAAACAAAUGUGAGGAAGGCUGAACUUGAUGGACGCAAGUCUCUUUUCAGCUAUGUAACUAUGUAACUAUGAAUGCUUAGUCACAAUUUGCUUGCACACAAUAAAAACAAAAGAAAAUAUUGUUGCCAAAUGAAAAUAUGAUGGACAGCCAGAUGGUAUCCGCUACACUUGCCCACAAGCUGGCAUACACAGUCCAGCACGGAUCAGCUUGGGGAUGUCUGGGGUUGCUCACGGAUCAUUUUUCCAGGUCAAUUUGUCUAGACAACCCGUCAGCGUUUCCGUUCUGUUUUCCCGGGCAGUACUGGAUGUUGAAUCUAAGAGUCGGUCCACCAUCCUCUGGAAAGUAGCCUGAGUGUUUUUCAUCCCAAACGGCAUUACCUUAAAUUGGUAUAAGCCGAAUGGGGUGACAAAGGCUGACUUAAGGAUGGCGACCGGGGCUAGGGGAAUCUGCCAAUUAAUGGUAGUGAGGUAUUGGNNNNNNNNNNNNNNNNNNNNNNNNNNNNNNNNNNNNNNNNNNNNNNNNNNNNNNNNNNNNNNNNNNNNNNNNNNNNNNNNNNNNNNNNNNNNNNNNNNNNCCCCGGGCCAUCUAGUCUAGCAGUUUGUCUAUCCUUGGCAUAGGAUAGGCAUCGGACAUUGUCUUUUCAUUCAACCUCCGGUAGUCCACGCAGAAGCUUGGAUACGAGGACUAAUGGGGAGGCCCAGGGGCUGCCUGAUGCUCAAUCACCCCCAGUUGGAGUAUCUCGUUGAUCUCCUUGCGCAUGUUUUCCCGUACCACCUCUAUGAUGCGGUAUGGGGUUUGGCGCAGUGGGAGUUGAACUGAAUUUGGUGUCACAUCGAUGUUCCAACACUUUAUAAGGGCCUUGCCAGGCAGCCUGUAACUUAUGUCAGACAGGUUUUAAAAUUAAAACUUUCUGCCCGACCUGAAAGCUACAGUCUCUGGUGCCCCAAUCAUACCAUGUGCGCUGACGCGUCUGAGCCGCCUGCAGGUUUUCCCCUACCGACCUGGUCAGUUCCUCCAGUCGGUCUCGGAACUCCAGUACAUAUGGUAUGAUGGGGGUACCGUCCAUGAUAUAGUCUCCUUCCCAAUGUUCCUUGAUAAGGUCAAUUGGUCUGUGGAUAGUAGGGGGUACUAACUAUGGGCCUAAUGCCACAGAAUUUCCAGAGGUGCUGGGCAGGGGUCAAGUCCUGGGGAAAAAAGUGUGGGAACUCUCCCAAAAAAAAACAAAAAACGUAUGUAUGUAUGUAUGUAUAUAUAUAUAUAUAUAUAUAUAUAUAUAUAUAUAUAUAUAUAUGGAAGGCGUGGCCUGAAGUUGUGGGAGGGGCUUGGUUCCCCUUCUUAAGGAGCAUCAACCCUUCCCUCAUUACCUGUUGGGUCUGGCGAAUUGUGGGUAGAGAGAUCGUCACUUCCGGUUGUUCUGGCACCAUUCUACUUACCUGUUUCACCGUGGGUAGCUUCCUGGGUCCCAACAAGUGCUGUCCCAUCCUGUUUCGCCCGUCUGGCUUCAUUUCCUGGCCGGGCGUUUCGCUGCGCUUUCAUUACGGCAAAAUCGUAAGUUUUACGGCCGUCGCAAUUUCGGCGCGGCCGUUUUACGUCAUCCUAAUUGUACAGUCGCACACGUGGAAACUCUUCGGUAAAUAUUUACACGAAUACCGGCGUUCGGUUUUCUGCUUGUAUACGCAUAUAGCAUGUUACAUUUUAAUUCGUAUGGGGCAAUUCGUUACAUUCAUAUUAUGCCUGUUCGUUUGCCGAAAGCUGCUUCACUUUUAUGUUACAACUUGUUGUAUGCCCUAGGGCGACCUCUGGUGGCUGGUUCAUUGUCACUGAUUUCUCUCUCAAAUACAUUCCACGACCCCUGGUGGUUAUUAAAGUUAUGGCAUUUGGCACAAGUAAAUUAUAAUUUUAGUUAUGAUUAUAAGAUAUCUUAUGUUGGUUAAAGUUUGUUGGGCAACUCGUUAAAUAUGUUUUAUUAAUAAGUUGAACAAUGCAUUUACACUCGGUCACCUUAUGACUAUUUCGUUUGCCUAAUCUCUAGUCUAUUAUAUGGUAUAAUUAUGAUAUGCACUAAGAAGACCUCUGGUGGUCGGUUUUCAGUACUAUUUAGUUGCUUGCACAACCCUGCUGAUCAGAAAGGUUAUAUUCACGACCUCAAUUGUUUGUAAGAUUACAGUAUCAGUAGUCCAGUGUUGUGUGCAUCGUAUGAGUAUCAAUAUAAGGACAUUUUGUCAUAACAUACUUAACGGUCAAUUAAUUAGAGACCUCUUGUUUUCAGUGUUCUACAUCAAUUCCUCUGGGUUCCGCUACCCCACCAACUGUUUCACUCUACAUCAGUUCAUAUAUUUAAUUAUACCUUCAUGGGUCACGCCAGACCAGAUUCCUCAAAGAUAUUUUCUGUAUUACUAGGUAUAAGCAUCCUAGCACUUUGUAGUAUUCAGGUUCCAGUCACCUAAACUGUUGGAAUAUUAUUUAUAGGUAUCUGAUCAGUAGGGGGUCAAGGGCUACAUAUUUCGACCCUUACGAACUCAUGUUACUCUCGUAGGUUACUACAGCUCACCUGGGUCACGUGUCCUACUUUCUGCAAAUUUCACUACUAGUGAAGUACUACUGGUAGGUAUCAGAUUAGCUGGGGAUUUAGGGGCACAAUUUCGUUUUAUUUUACCCAUACAAACGUCAAUUACUCUUGUAGAUUACGACAGAUCUCCUGUACACUUCUUCUCAUACUAUCUGGCAACUUACUCAACAGGUACGUCACGUUUCGACUACUUCUCCCUCCCUACCUACCCUUUAGGGUUUAUACAGAUACUGGCAAGAAAUAGGACCCACUAGGUAUGUUUUUCUGGCCUUCUACGCCUUACGUUAGUGGUCCCGCGAGGCCAACACCCAUCCUCAAUUCGGAGGUACGGCAUCCCCUCGGGCCCUUUCAUAGCUAGCCGCCUCGCUUAGUUGCAUAGAGAGGGCCUCACUUGUCACUCCCAUUCUGUCUUAUGCCUUUACAAGUCACAGAGAGGCCACCACCCUGCCAUAAUGCCAAUGGCCACGUAUCCCACACGCGCCAAAUCAUAGAUAGUGCCUCUCAAGGCCGCUUGGCCACUAGUAGGGCCUCACCUGUCAUGUCGCUUAAUAAUUCUUCGCCGCUUGGCAUUUAGUGACAAUAGCCAGUUGGGUAGCCCCAGAUAACAUACUAUUUUAUGUUGUAGCAUGUCACAAGUUCCUGAAGAAAGGGAAGAUGUGUCCAUGUCAGGGUACCUGUUGGUGAUGUAUCCAGGGAGGACAUCCUCUCUGCUUAGGGGCUCCCUGCCCCUAGCUUUUCGGCAUAUUCCGGCCGUUUUCGCGCCGGCCGCGCUAGCUCCUCCCCCUUUUAUGACGCGACGGCUAGCGUCGACGUCAUGACGUCGGCAUUUGCAUAAAGUGCCGGGAACCGCUAUUCCGGACCUUUUUGGGGGCGUGGUCUCUAUUUAGGUAACAGGGUAUUUAAAGGAAACCUUUACUACUGCUCAUUGCCCUGUCGUGGUUCUAGCUUGCUAGUCACUCAGCGCGUUCUUUAUCUUGUGUUUCCGGUUUUGACCCUUGCUUGUCUUUUGUCCUGUUGUCCUCUCCUCUCCUUUGACUCGGCUUGUAUCUCGCUUACCUGUCCUCCGGCUCCCUUGACCUCGGCUUACCUUUUGACUAUUCUUGCUUUGUCCUUACGUUAGUCCGGCCAUUCUAAGGUCCGGUAUACGUACCUCCUUCUGUGCGCACUCUGCGUAUUGGAUCCCUGUCAGUUUCCUGACAUUACGACAGGGCCAGAUGGAUCCUGCAGGUGCUAGUCCUCCUGACCCCAGAUUUGAGGCCAUGGACCAUAGAAUGGACCAAAUGGCUUUAGCGUUACAAACUUUGUUGACACGCUCCAGUACCCAGUCUGAAGAAAUACGUUCCACUGCUAGCCACUCGCUAAGUACUGGUUUGGAAGUAGCCACUGUAGGCGCAUCUUCCCAUGUCACGUCACCAUUACGAUAUGGGGGUUCGCCUGAUGCUUGUCGUGGUUUUUUAAACCAGAUAAGUAUACAUUUCGAACUACAACCCCGGGCUUACCCCACUGACAGGGCUAAGGUAGGCUUUAUUAUAACCCUGCUAAUAGAUAAAGCACUUAGAUGGGCCAAUCCCCUUUGGGAGAAUGACAAUCCUUUAGUCUACAACUACACUGCGUUUGUCACGGCUUUUAGAAGAACCUUUGACCCCCCAGGGAGGAAGAUUAAUGCGGCCAGAUCCCUGUUACGCCUUAAACAACAGGAUAGGACCCUUGUAGAAUAUGCUCUAGAGUUUAGAUCAUUGGCAGCAGAAGUGAAAUGGAACGAACAAGCUUUUAUGGAUGUCUUCUUAAAUGGGUUGUCUGAUGAAAUUCUAGAUGAAAUUGCCACAAGAGAACUUCCGGAAAAUUUAGAGGAUUUAGUAUCCUUCAUUUCCAGAAUAGAUGAACGCAUGAGACAGAGGCAGAACACUCGGGAAAGAGUUACUAGACUUCCUGUAAGACUCACUCCCUCAUUUCAGAACCCUGACUCCUAUAAUCCUACUCCACCAGAACCUAUGCAAAUAGGCAAUACUCGCUUAUCUGAGGCUGAGAGACAGUACAGAAGAAGGGAGGGUCUCUGCUUAUACUGCGGGCGGAGAGGUCACCUACGUCUGAGUUGCCCUAAUCGUCCGGGAAACGCUCGCACCUAAGUUCCCUUAGAGGACGGGCCUUGGGUGUUUCAUUACUGUCCUCUAUGCAUAAUAAAAAAGACCAUAGGCUUCUGAUUCCUGUCUCUCUAGCUUGGGAAAAGGGGCUUAUUGCUACGAUGGCAUUAUUAGAUUCUGGAGCAGCAGAAAGCUUUAUAGACCAAACUUUCGCUAAUAAGCAUUGUAUCCCAUUCCAAUUGAGAGAUACACCCUUGGCCGUUGAGGCCAUAGAUGGUAGACCUUUAUCUGAACCAGUAAUAUUCCAUGAGACUGUACCCGUUAAGCUUACUGUUGGUAUUUUCCACGAGGAGUUGAUUUCCCUUCUGUUAAUUUCCUCCCCGGCAGUCCCAGUGGUACUAGGAUAUUCUUGGCUCAAGAGACACAACCCUCAGAUUGACUGGGAGGGUGGAGAAAUCGUGUCUUGGGGUAUGGGUUGUAGGAAAGAAUGUCUGCAGAGUGUUACUUCUGUUUGCCCCAUAAACUCUUAUGUUAACACUUCUCAAUCCACAGACGUUCAGAUACCAUUACAAUAUCUAGACCUCAAAUCUGUAUUUGACAAGGGUAAGGCGGAUACUUUACCUCCCCACCGGUCUUAUGACUGUUCUAUUAAACUUUUCCCUGGUACUAUGCCUCCCAGGGGUACGGUAUACCCUCUAUCCACCAAGGAAAACUUAGUUUUAGAGGAAUAUAUCAAGGAGAAUUUAGACAAAGGAUUUAUUAGAAAGUCUUCUUCUCCGGCGGGGGCGGGUUUCUUUUUUGUAGAAAAGAAAGACGGUACCUUACGUCCUUGUAUAGAUUAUCGGGGAUUGAACAAAAUUACUAUCAGAAAUGCUUACCCUUUGAUUACUGAACUCUUUGACAGACUAAAGGGCUUGAGUAUUUUUACCAAACUUGACUUAAGAGGAGCAUAUAACUUAGUGCGAAUUAAACAAGGAGAUGAAUGGAUGACUGCAUUUAAUACCCGUUACGGGCAUUAUGAGUAUACCGUAAUGCCGUUUGGGCUUUGCAACGCCCCGGCCGUCUUCCAAGACUUGAUCAAUGAAGUUCUUAGAGAAUUCCAACAUGAAUGUGUAAUUGUAUAUUUGGAUGAUAUACUAAUCCAUUCUAGAGACAUUAAUUCACAUCAUAGACAAGUCAGAAAGGUAUUACAGAAACUUUUACAACAUGGAUUGUAUUGUAAAUUGGAAAAAUGUAGCUUUGACCAGUCUCAGGUAACUUUCUUAGGUUACGUAAUUUCCAAAGACGGGUUUAUGAUGGACCCGACCAAACUAAAAUCGAUUUUAGAUUGGCCUUUACCUAAGGGACUCAAAGCCAUACAAAGAUUUCUUGGAUUUUCUAAUUAUUACAGACGUUUUAUUAAAGGGUACUCCUCUGUUAUCGCUCCUAUCACUAAUAUGACCAAACAAGGAGCCGAUACCAAAACCUGGUCUACUGAGGCUUUAUCUGCUUUCGAAACGCUCAAACAGUCUUUUGCCUCAGCACCUGUAUUAGUUCAUCCUGAUACCUCUCUACCCUUUUUACUUGAAGUUGAUGCGUCUGAAACAGGGAUAGGCGCAGUGUUGUCCCAAAGACAAAGUUUAGAUAAGCCGCUGCACCCUUGCGGUUUUUUUCCAAGAAACUAUCACACACUGAAAGGAGAUAUGACAUUGGUGAUAGAGAACUUUUAGCUAUCAUUAUGGCAUUAAAGGAAUGGAGACAUUUGUUAGAGGGCACCGUCCUCCCAGUUACUAUCUUGACUGACCACAAAAAUUUAUCGUAUAUGGGGGAGGCUAAAAGAUUAUCUGCCAGGCAGGCACGUUGGUCUAUGUUCCUUACACACUUUAAUUAUGUGCUUACUUACAGACCUGGUUCUAAGAACACUAAGGCAGACGCUUUGUCACGUCAGCACGAACCUACCACCUCUACAGAGGAUACUUUGUUCCCUAUUAUUCCUGAAGUCAAUAUUAUCGCCAACACCAAUGUCAAAAUACACUCUCCAUUGCUCGCUGAUAUUAUGAACGAACAAUCUCUUGCUCCCGAACGUACUCCUGUGGGCCGCUUGUUCGUGUCUCCCAAAUUCCAAGUGGACAUUAUUCGCUGUUUUCACGAUAGCAAGUUCGCUGGUCACCCCGGCAUCCACAAAACUUACUGCCUGAUCUCCAAAGACUUCUGGUGGCCCGGUUUACGUAGGGAUGUGGAAGACUUUGUCAAGGCUUGCAAUGUUUGUGUCAGGAAUAAACUUCCGCGGGAUCUCCCUUGUGGUUUAUUGCAGCCCUUAGUCGUUCCCAACAAACCUUGGGCUUGUUUUGCUAUGGAUUUUAUUGUUGAUCUACCAGCUUCCAAUAGGCAUACAGUUAUCCUCACGGUCCUUGACAGGUUUACUAAAAUGGCUCAUUUCGUUCCCUUGCCUAAACUUCCGUCCUCCCCCGAACUGGCCGUGAUAUUUGCUAGAGAAAUUUUCCGUUUACAUGGUAUUCCCAAUGAGAUUGUGUCAGACAGGGGUUCCCAAUUUAUUUCCCGUUUUUGGAGAUCCUUCUGUUCACAGUUGGGCAUCAAACUGAAUUUUUCUUCGGCCUAUCAUCCUCAAUCUAACGGAGCAGCCGAACGCACUAACCAAAAAUUGAGCAAUAUCUACGUUGUUUUGUUUCUGAACACCAGGAUGACUGGGUCGGUCUGAUUCCUUGGGCGGAGUUUGCUCACAACAACCUUGUUUGUGGUUCCACUCAUAAUAGCCCCUUUUUCUUGAACUAUGGCUUUAACCCUACUGUUCUUCCGUCGGUGUCUCCUUCCCAGGGUAUACCGUCGGUUGAUAUUCAUAUAGCUAACCUGAGAAAGUUGUGGGAUCAGACUCGACAAAUUCUUGAACGUAGUUCCGCGGUGUUUAAGUCACAUGCUGAUAGGCGUAGGCGUCCUGCUCCUAUUUUUUCUCCGGGGAUAGGGUCUGGUUGUGUACCAGACACAUUCGCCUGAAAGUUCCUUCCUUGAAGUUUGCUCCUCGUUACAUUGGUCCUUACAGGGUACUGAGGAGGAUCAACCCGGUUUCUUAUUUGCUGGAUCUACCUCCUACUCUACGCAUCCCUAACUCUUUUCAUGUGUCGUUAUUAAAACCUCUUGUUUGUAACAGAUUUUCCUCCCGCUCUGCUCCUCCAUCCUCGGUCCGUGUGGAUGGUCAGGAGGAAUAUAUCAUCAAGUCCAUCCUUGAUUCUCGUAUUUCUAGGGGAAGCUGCAAUACCUCAUAGACUGGAAAGGUUAUGGUCCAGAAGAGAGGUCUUGGGUUCCUGGUAUAGACGUGCAUGCUCCUCGUCUUCUUCGGGCCUUCCACGUUCGUUUUCCUUCUAAGCCAGGUCCCAUCCGCCCGGUGGGCGUUUCUAGAAGGGGGGGUACUGUCAGGGUACCUGUUGGUGAUGUAUCCAGGGAGGACAUCCUCUCUGCUUAGGGGCUCCCUUCCCCUAGCAUUUCGGCAUAUUUCGGCCGUUUUCGCGCCGGCCGCGCUAGCUCCUCCCCCUUUUAUGACGCGACGGCUAGCGUCGACGUCAUGACGUCGGCAUUUGCAUAAAGUGCCGGGAACCGCUAUUCCGGACCUUUUGGGGGCGUGGUCUCUAUUUAGGUAACAGGGUAUUUAAAGGAAACCUUUACUACUGCUCAUUGCCCUGUCGUGGUUCUAGCUUGCUAGUCACUCAGCGCGUUCUUUAUCUUGUGUUUCCGGUUUUGACCCUUGCUUGUCUUUUGUCCUGUUGUCCUCUCCUCUCCUUUGACUCGGCUUGUAUCUCGCUUACCUGUCCUCCGGCUCCCUUGACCUCGGCUUACCUUUUGACUAUUCUUGCUUUGUCCUUACGUUAGUCCGGCCAUUCUAAGGUCCGGUAUACGUACCUCCUUCUGUGCGCACUCUGCGUAUUGGAUCCCUGUCAGUUUCCUGACAGUCCAUCGCCAGUACACCGGCUAGAUCGGUCACUCCAUCGCGGGGUGACGACAACGCAAGCCCUGCAUCACUCAGGGCGUGGACUGUUCCAAGAAUUACGGCUGAAUUAAGGAAGAGAAAUAUUCCGUUCCCUGCUACAGCUAGGAAAGCUGAGUUGUACAGACUAUUAAAUACCCAGACUGAUAACUCUGGGGCAGGGGAAGGAUCCAGCGGGAACCAUUCCUCAGAUCUGCAGUCAGUUUUGUCAUCAGUCCUGACCUCUUUGGGUCGUAUUACGGACAAACUGGACAAAAUGGACGCAGAUAGCCAGCAAAGGUCGCCUGCUACUGCAGGGAGCCCAGUUGCUGCAGUAUGCUUGGACCCUCUACCGGGUAAUUUACCAACUAGCUCUAAAGACCCACAUAUAAUUAACCCAGCACACAUGGUACCUGCUAAAACCAGAAAGGACAUCUUGGAAGGAAAGGAUAUCAAUCUGGUAUCACUUUUGAUUGCCUUACAAGAUGUCCUUGAGAAUAAGACAUAUGCAUAUGGGGAUGUGUCAGUAGUUCUCAAGUCCAGAGAUCCCAGGCUGAAUCAAAAGCUUUCCAUUCCAGAAUUUGUACUGGCCUUCGGUAUCUACAGGGACGUCCUAUGCUCUGUAUAUCCAAAUAGGAGGGAAGAAUUGGACCUUUACCUCCACAAGCUGGUGGAUUUGGGGCACAAGUACGGUGGUACGUCAUUUUACGACUACCACCGUGCUUUUUCCGCAAAGGCGUCGGCCACCCUAGCACAGUUCAAUAUUCAGGCUGAUUGGGGUGUGCUUGAUACUGAGCUGUUUUGUCGGCACUUUGCGGGCCUGAAAACUCCAGCUUGUGCCAUUUGCUCAUCCAAUUCUCACACGGCUAAUUUAUGCCCUAAUUCUCCUGAGGUGAAUGCUGUUUUUUCACCUGCUAAUGUGGUACCCACAGGGAGGUCUGGCAGGGUGCUUAAAGACAAACUAGGCCGUGAUAUAGUGUUCUUGGGCAAGUCACAGGUCUGUAACAAUUUCAACACCAGCUCUUGCGGUUACAGUGCCUGCAGACUUCUGCAUGUCUGUUCAAUCUGUUUCAGGGCUCACGCCAAGGCAAUGUGCCCUAAUAAACUAUUCCCUAAGCAGUAUCAAACGUCUCUUCAUGUCUCCCUACUGAAAGAACUUUUACGUAAUCACCCAUCACAAGAUCUCGUUGACUUUUUGGUGACAGGGUUUACGAUGGGGUUUCACACGGGUAUUGUGCACAUGCCUACAGGGAUCCUGUAAUGUAAAAACUUACAGACAGCCCUAGCAGCACCCGACACUAUCAACUUACUCCUUCAGAAGGAAAUGGACCAAGGUUUCUUGUUAGGACCUUUUGACUCCCCGCCGUUCACGGUUCGGAGAACUAAUCCCAUAGGACUGGUCACUAACAAAUCUUCACAAAACAAAGGCUAAUUCUCGACCUGUCAGCCCCCCAUGCAUCUCCUACUCCAAGCCUAAAUUCAUUAAUACCGUCUGAAGAAUUCUCCCUCCAAUAUGCUAACAUAGAUAACGCAGUCACAGCCAUCCUCUCAGCCGGGGUAGGGGCAUGGCUAUGUAAAACGGAUAUUGUGAACGCUUUCAAAUUACUCCCCAUUCAUCCAUCCCUAUGGCAUUUACAUGGGGUUAAGUGGCAAGGCUCGUAUUACUUUUUCACUCGUCUCACGUUUGGUUCAAAAAGCAGCCCCAGGAUCUUUGAUAUAUUUGCGGAGACACUGUGUUGGAUGCUGCUUAACCUCUUUUUAUGCCCCACAGUUAUCCAUUACCUGGAUGAUUUCCUGACCGUAGAAAGUAACUCAGCACCUCCUACUAGCAUCCAGUCAAUCACACGACUGUUCACACGAUUAGGAGUUCCGGUAUCACCGGCAAAGACUGAAGGUCCUGAUACUAUAAUCAAUUUCUUAGGGGUAGUACUCGACUCUGUGAACAUGCAGGCUAGCCUCCCCAGGGAAAAGAUCGAACGCAUCCUGGCAGCCAUCGACCUUUACUUGGGAGGAGGCUCAUGUAAUAGGAAGGAAUUGCAAUCCCUGCUGGGUUCAUUGAAUUUCGCAAUGAAAAUUAUUCCACAGGGGAGAGCAUUCAUUUCCAGGUUGCUUAGCCUAUUUCCAAUGUUUCAAUCUGACACAUCCCGCAUUUCACUAGACAUACAUGCCACAGCUGACCUUCGUAUGUGGAAGGAGUUUUUGCUAAACUGGAACGGGAAAAGCAUUUUUAUCCCGGUUUGGUCAGAAAAUUCGGUAUCACUCUGGACAGAUGCCGCAGCCACUUCUGGAUUUGCCGCUAUUUGGGGCAACAAAUGGAUGUAUGGUAAAUGGCCAGGAGAGAUUACUGAGAUCCCCAGGUUUAAGGAAACGUCAGCACUAUUUGAGCUGUAUCCUAUCGUAGCGGCAGCAGUUAAGUGGGGAGCAGGCUGGUCUGGGAAUUCUGUUCGUUGCUUCUCAGACAACAUGGCUACAUGCCAUGUUGUAAAUAAGGGACGUUCCUCUUCCUUGGCCAUCAUGAGGUUCAUGAGGACUCUCACAUGGCUGGCCGCUAAACACAGUUUCUUUUUGUCUUGCUUUCAUGUGCCUGGUUUUCUCAAUAUUGCAGCUGAUCACUUAUCACGGUCCCGGUUUCAGGAGUUCCAGGAAGCCCUUCCAACAGCUGCCCUAAUACCAACUCCGGUACCACAGUGGCAGGAAAUGGUCUGGGACUAAAAGAGCUGCUAUGUCAUGGGCGGCAACUCUCACAGCUCGGUCUUUCUGCUAAUACUAGGAAGGCAUAUGGUAGAGCUUUUGAUGUAUUUAAUAAAUUCUUGUUGGACUUUAAUAUUGUUGACCAGUUUUCCAUGGAGACCAUUAUUGCUUUCAUCUCCUUUUGCCACCUUCAUCUAACAUUGUCAUACAACACCAUUAAAUUGUAUAUCACAGGUAUUCAGCACCACAUACUCACUUCUUGGCCUAACAAACAACGCUUUAUAUCCUCCUACCAAGUAAAAGCUAUACUUAAAGGUAUCAAAGACACCUACACCCUCACCUGCUAGACUACCCAUCCACGAUCUAUUAUUCCAGGCACUAUCAAAUCUACUAGACACCUCACCAUUCGAAGGUCAUACCAAUCGUGUUAUUAAAACAGCCAUCUAUCUGGCAUUUUACGGUUUUCUGCGGCCCAGAGAAUUCACCACCACUAGCGUUAACUCACUCACGCCUGGCUUUCAAAACCAUGAAUAUGUAAUGUGUAGUGUUGAGUUAUGGUACAAUAAAUGGUUAUAUCUUUUGCCCUCUUUUUCAGGCCUACUUCCUCGUCAGUUCCGGCACACCACAACUGACAUUUCCAUUCUAUGUUUGUCUUAUAUCAAUAAUACUACGGCUUAUGCCAUGACCACAAAUGGAAGGCGUGGCCUGAAGUUGUGGGAGGGGCUUGGUUCCCCUUCUUAAGGAGCAUCAACCCUUCCCUCAUUACCUGUUGAGUCUGGCGAAUUGUCCCACCCACCACACCACUUUUAUAAGCAUUCUAUAAGGUAGGCCCUCUUUUUCAGGCCUACUUCCUCGUCAGUUCCGGCACACCACAACUGACAUUUCCAUUCUAUGUUUGUCUUAUAUCAAUAAUACUACGGCUUAUGCCAUGACCACAAAUAUAUAUAUAUAUAUAUAUAUAUAUAUAUACACGCGUGCACACACACAUACACUCACACAGUGGUGUAUUUUAAUUUUGUGCUGCCCUAGACAUGACUAUAGCGCACCCCCCUAAUCUAAAUUUACCACUCCUUCAUGUCAAGGGUGCACCGCUUCCUGAUUAAGAACCCACCCCUUCCUCUUUAGACUCCACCAUUUCCUGCUCUUUUUAAAGAAAUACUAUAGUGCCAGGAAAACAAAGUUGUUUUCCUGGCACUAUAAUUCCGUAUAGUGCCCCCCUCCUCUCAUGUCCUCCCCUCCCCCACUCGACACUGAAGGGGUUAAAAUCCUAGGGGUAUUUAGCAGAUGCUGGAUGUCCUCAUGCACAGGGUGAGGACGUCCAGCAUCAGUUAGGUGAUUUUUGGUCACCUAACCACCCGAAAGUCCCUCUAGUGGCUGUCUCAUAGACAGCCACUAGACUUGGAGUUACCCCUCAGGUAAUUAUUGCAGUUUCUGAGAAGGUUUAAGGGGACUGGGACACUGCACCCAGACCACUUCAAGGAGCUGAAGUAGUCUGGGUGCCUAUAGUGUCCCUUUAAGCACACUCUCUGACAGACACCCACACUGGUAGAUACACACUGACAGUAACACACACAUUCAAUGACAAACACACAGACUUCACUGAUUUGACACACACAUUCACUGACACACACUCAUUCAUUGACAGAGAGACACACACUAAUAGUCACACACACACUAAAUGACAGAUUCUCACUGAUUUGACAGAAACUUACAAUAACAUAUGCACAUACAUGCAAACAUACACAUGCAUACACUAACAGAAGCACAUACACACGUACAAACGCUAACAGACAUAAAUACACUCCUACACACACUGAGACAAACAGACAUCCACAGACAGACAUCCACACAUCCAGACAUCCACACAUCCAGAAACAGACAUCCACACAUCCACACAUCCACAAACAGACAUCCACACAUCCACAGACAUCCACAAAUCCACAAACAGACAUCCACAAACAGACAUCCACAUCCAGACAUCCACAAACAGACAUCCACACAUCCACAAACAGACAUCCACAAACAGACAUCCACACACAGACAUCCACACAUCCACACACAGACAUACAGACAUCCACACACAGACAUCCACACAUCCACAGACAUCCACACAUCCACACACAGACAUCCACACACAGACAUCCACACAUCCACACACAGACAUACAGACAUAUCCACACAUCCACAAACAGACAUCCACACAUCCACAAACAGACAUCCAACACACAUCCACACAUCCACACACAGACAUCCACACACAGACAUACAGACAUACACACAUCCACACACAGACAUCCACACACAGACAAACAGACAUCCACAAACAGACAUCCACACACAGACAUACAUAUUAAUAAUAUUAUUAACAAAUUAACAUAUCCCACCCACCCAGCAUCCCUACCUUUCCCUGGGGUCCAGUGGGGCUGCAGUGAGGACGGCUCUCUCCCUGUCACACGCGGAGAGGGAGCUGUGUGCUCUCUGCUCCCUCUCGCCGCGCGGGAUGUCUGCUGAUGCUGGGAGCCGGGUUGAUGACGUCAUAUUCCGGCUCCCAGUAUCAGCAGACAUCCCGCGCGGCGAGAGGGAGCAGAGAGCACACAGCUUCCUCUCCGCGUGUGACAGGGAGAGAGCCGUUCGCCGGGGGGCAAUCCAUCAGGUGGCCCCCCCAUGACAGGGGGGGCAUUUGGGGGCGGCAUUUUUUGCCGCCCCCUGAGUGCCUGCAGGGUGAACGGCGUUCCUGCUGUGAAAAAAGUGCAGGAACGCCGUUCCCACGCGUUCCUGCAGGACUCGAGCCCUGGUGCUGGGUAACUUCUGCAGUGAACUGAGUACCCCGAUCCGAGAUGAUCUCCCUGGGAAAAUCCGCAUCAGGGCCUCAGCCACUGUUUUGGCGUGUAUAUUAGUGCCACCGCCUCUGGAUAUCUGCUAGCGUAGUCCACCACUGUCAAGAUAUAAUUCUUGCCAAAGGGGCUAGCCUUCUUUAAGGGACCUACUAUGUCUACCGCUACUCUACUGAAUGGUUCUUCCAUUAUGGGUAGAGGGUGUAACUUUUUUCUUUCCGGGGGUCUCCCCUCUUCCCUACUCUCUGGCACGUGUCACAAUUAUUGCAGUACCUCCUAACCUCCUGACUGAUUCCUGGCCAAAAGAAGCUCUGGGUCAGUAGGUACCAGGUGCGACUGACCCCCAAAUGUCCGGAUAGCGGAAUAUCAUGCGCUAUCCAGAGCAAUUCGGAUCGGUACUGCUGUGGUACCACUAGCUGUCUAAUGAUAAUCGGGUCUGACCCUUCUACCCUUUUCUCAGAUUCUCGGUAUAGCAACCUUUUGUCCCAGACAAAUCUCUGUCCCUCCACCCCGGGUGGGUCAGAGGUGACCCUAUCCCUAUACACUUGUAAGGAUACACCUCUGCCUCAAAUUCGCUAGGGGGGGCCCAAGGGACGCACUCUAAGGAAGGAGAAGGAUCUCUUACUUGAACCUCCAGGUGUGAGUUGUGGUCCUGGGUGCGGGCCUGUUGACAUGUGACCAUGGGAGGUGCUUCUCCAGUGGCAGGGAUCUGGGGCUCAAAAGCAGAUGUGAGAUUCCCCAGGUUGUUUCCCAACAAAACUUCUGCCGGUAACUGUGGCAUCAACCCCACCUCCACAUUUCCAGACCCCGCUCCCCAAUUCAAAUGUACCCUUGCUGUGGUUAGCCGAUAUACUGCUCCCCUGGCUACCCUGACGGCCACUGUCCGGUUGGUCUUGACUCCUUCGCGGACGAGAUGGCUCUUUACCAGCAUGAAGAUUGCUCCCGAAUCGCGUAGUCCUUGCACCGCCUUCCCCUCUAGGUGUACGACCUGUCGAUGCUGUUGGCGGUUAUCGGCAUCUGCUUGGAGUGGAUCCGCCUCAUGUAGUACCUCCCAUUGUUUGACUACUGGGUUGGGUAUAGUUGCAGCAUAUGGUGUUGGUAUUUCAAUUUGAUAAUAAUGCACUGCCGCUCGUGGUGGUGGUGGACCGGGUCGCAUCCAUGUGGUUCUGUCUUGCAGUUAAGGGCAGUCUCUUUUGUAGUGGCCCCAUUUUUGGCACUGGUGACACUGUACAGCGCUGGGCUGGCAGAACUGCUGCUGUGAGGUGGCUGGUGAGGGUGGUGGAAGCUGCCGAGGAGGUGCUACUGAGCUGGUGGGGUAGGUAGUCCCCACUGUGGAUCUUACUGCAGUCCUGGCUGGCACAGUUUUCUGUUGCCUGCGGGCAUCCAUAUAGUCAUCGGCUUUCCUGGCUGCUUCGGUGAGGGAUGUGGGGUUGCGGUCUCUUACCCACUCCUGAACAUCUGUUGGGACCCUGUCAUAAAAUUCCUCCAACAAUAAUAUUUGUAAUAGGUCCUCCAUGGACCGUGCUUAGUUAGCUUGUACCCACCCUAAGGCUGCCCAGUGCAGUCGACAAGCCCAUUCAGCGUGCAAGUCCUUUUCCGCCGCCUUCAGCUCCCUGAACCGCAUUCGGUACGCCUCUGGUGUGAUGGCAUAGCGGGCCAAGAUGACUUCUUUUACCCGACUGUAGUUGCGAAUUUCUUCAUCGGGUACGGUGCGGUACGCCUCCGCUGCUCUCCUGGUUAGCCAACUUGCUAGGAUGGGGACCCAAUCUUCUGCACUGAUUUUAUGUAGGGCACACAGUCUUUCAAAGUCCUGGAGGAAUGCAUCUAUGUCUUCCUCUGCCUCUACAUAGGUUUUGAAAGCCUGGUAGGGUAUCUUAGGCUUACCCUCCUGGAUCGUAGUCAUUGCUGGGUUUCUUUCUGGAAUUUGCUGGUUUCUUUGUUAUAGCACAAACUCCUGAACUUCGGUCAUUGCUCUGGAGAUUAUGUCUGCUGGUGGAUUUUCCCCAUAAAAUGACAGCCUAAAUUGUUGCUGUCUUUGGAACUCUGAUUGUUCCUGUUCAUCUGCAGAACCGCUCCGUUUGGGAACCGAAUCGCCCUCCGUUCAGUAUUCCGCCAUCAUUUCUGAGACAAGCACUGCCUUUUUCUUGUUGCUGGCCGGAAUACCCCUUGCUUAACGUGGACCGCUUGAGAAUAGAGUAGUCAAUCUCCAUCCACAAUCCAUUUGUAUUGCUGCUUUCUUUGGUACUUGUUCCUUUCUGGAUUCUGGAUCCCGCCGCUGCCAACAAUGUAGCAGAGCACUAGUUUCCCAUAGGCUUUCUCCGCUGAUAAUCCAAUAGCAUUUCAGGAACAAGGGGUUAACACAGGAAAAACAGCAGCAGUAGUAAAUAAAAUAAUCCUGGAAUAUCCCAUCACCUUUCCUGGAAUAACUGGACGACACACAGUAUCAGGAGUAGAACUCAUCUUUAAUCCCACAUACCCUGCUUUUAUGCAUCUCUCCCAUGCAAGGGAGACACCCACAAAAAAUUAUACAGUAACCAAUCAUAUACAGGUUACAACCCAAUCAUCUCCCCUCAGCC
rnacentral:lncRNA from 1 species